rnacentral:rRNA from 1 species
GCUGGCGGCGUGCCUAACACAUGCAAGUCGAGCGGUAACAGGUGUAGCAAUACAUGCUGACGAGCGGCGAACGGGUGAGUAAUGCUUCGGAAUCUGCCCAGUGGUGGGGAAUAACCAGCCGAAAGGUUGGCUAAUACCGCAUAAGCCCUACGGGGGAAAGCAGGGGAUCGCAAGACCUUGCGCCGAUGGAUGAGCCGAAGCCGGAUUAGCUAGUUGGUAGGGUAACGGCCUACCAAGGCGACGAUCCGUAGCUGGUCUGAGAGGACGACCAGCCACACUGGGACUGAGACACGGCCCAGACUCCUACGGGAGGCAGCAGUGGGGAAUAUUGGACAAUGGGGGAAACCCUGAUCCAGCGACGCCGCGUGUGUGAAGAAGGCCUGCGGGUUGUAAAGCACUUUUAGUGGGGAUGAAAAGCUCAGGGCUAAUACCUCUGGGUCUUGACCUAACCCAAAGAAAAAGCACCGGCUAACUCUGUGCCA